AACUUAAUAGUAAACCAAAUAACGAUAAAACAAUCCAAAAUAAAGAACACAACAGCUUAAUGAGGGGGAUUUUGGAAAGUCCAAGUCUAAAAAGGACCUCUUUGCACCACAUCUAUUCUUACUGUAUGUGUGGUUGGCCAUUCAGCUGAUCCAAUUGGAUUUGAGGUUGGUGGAAUUUUGGAUCCAGUAGGCUCCUCCUCUUCCAUACUCUCUUGGAGCCUCUGGAACAUAAGAUACAGAACUUCAACAAAGCAAACAGUGAAGAGUCAAACAGUCUAAUCAGAUCUACAUAACAGUUGCUGUGAUGCUGGAAGCAGAAUGUUGGAAAGAAGUGCCUUCACUUUUAUGUGCGUGUGUGUGUGUGUGUUUGGUCACUUACCACACUUAUCUGUCCUUAAAGGCCGUGUCUCACAGCGUACAUUUUGCGCGUGUUCCAUGGAUGAAAUUUCUGUCUUUCGUGUUAAAUGUGUGAUAUACGGAAUUCCGAAGUGUUUCUUGUGUUCGUCGAUGUCCGUCGAGUGUUUCGGCUGACGGGUCUUUAUGUCAAAGUCAAAGUCAAAAUGUUUUUAGCUGUUCCAAAUUUUUGGUCGGUUGAGAAUUACGCAGUUGUUACACAAAGUUUAUUCGCAAUUUUUAUGUAAACCUUAACACAUUGUGUGUGAUUUUUGUGAGACGCACACACAAAUUUGUGGAUUUCUACAACGUCUAACGGACAUUUCACGCAUGUACCACCCAUACACAACCUUUAUAUAAUGUAUACGGCGCAUAUAUCACAUUCAAAUGACGUAGCUGACGCACCAAUCAGUAACGAAUUACAUAUGAAAAGCACAAUAAUCACGCACAGUUCAUGUUCUAUGUUGAUUCUUGUGUUCUUUGGGUGGUUUAUUAGUACUUUUUCCGUGGUUUAAACGUGGUUGAUUUGUGAUACAUCAGUAAAAACAUCACGUAAAGAGCAAACUUUUCUCACUUUUUCCACGUUUUCUAACGUGUUACCAAUCUUCCUCCAUGGAUAAUGUACGUAGUGCCGUUGUGACACUGCUUUUAGGUCAGCAUUUCUAAUUAAUCAAAAUGAAAAUCAAACGAGCAUGACAGAAUUCAUCAAUUUCUUCGGCAGUCACACAAUUUUUAGCAGUGUAACACGGAUUUUGUUCAUUUCAGUGAAUGCAGGAACGGUUCCUAGCAUCGAGUGGUUUAAACUUUCAAAACAAAUGACUGAGAAGAAUUUGAACUUCAUUUAAAGGCUUCCAAAGACGAAGACUUUCAGAGUCCAUCAGAUUUGGUUCAAAGGCAACUUCAUUUUAUAGAAUCUUAUCGUCAAAUGACAAGAAAUCAAAUCAAAUCAGAUCAACCUUUAUUAUUUAUAUAGCACUUUUCCUACAUAGCGUAAUACAAAGUGCUGUACACCAAAAAUAAUAAAACAAAACAGACACAGCAAUUUAUAGUUGGACUAGUUAGUAGACUAGUCUCAGAGGAUCUCAGGGUCCGCCAAAGUUAAGGUUAAUAAGGUAAAUAAUAAAAUAUUUAAAAACCAUUAAAAUGUCUUUAUUUUAUCCGUCAUCUACUGAUGCAUCUGUUUGUUUUAUUCACAUUUCAAACAUUUUCUAUCAGAAAGAGAUAAAAGCUUCCUCUGCAGUAUCGUACCGUCACAGGCGCAUUUUUGGGUUAUCUGCCUCUGUGGAAGGUUGUAGAGAUUAACAAGUACAUCUCAGGGGGAGUGCAGGUGUUUCUCUCCCUUUAAUAUUUCCUUUUAUUCAGAACUUGAUCGGAAAAAUAGAAUAGAAUAGUUCUUUAAUAAUCCCUAUGGAAAUUUAAAAGUGUGACUUUAAAAAUAAAAAACAACUUAGAACUAAACAGCUUUUUCUUUAUGCACUUUUAUUUGUUGAGUGGCAACCCAAGCAGCCAAAUACUGACCUUUCUUUAAAGCCCUCCUUUAGCAUUUACACACAGCAGAUUUAAAUGAGUAGAGUCUUCUGAGGGUUAACACAAAGGUUAACAGCUGCAAUGGGAUCGUCAAUGCCAACAGAAUUGUGUAAUAGAAGGGACAAAGAGACGCGCCGGCCUUUGCUUUUUAAAGAUCACAAACAUGAAACACAAUGAACAUUUUGAAGAUCUGCCUUUUUAUCAAUGAUCGCCUUUUUAUUAAUUUCUGAAGAGGACCAAAUAUUCUGUCGGAAAAAAACAGAAGGAUCAUAUGUAGAUCCAGAAAUGAAGACAUAAAUUAUUUAGUCACGGUGAGUCUUUUUAGCUAACAUAUAACCUUAAGCUGUAGUUUCUACAAACCUCUAUUAUCGCAAGUUAACUUUUGGGAGAGAAACUAUAUGUCGACCCAGAGAAAAUAUGACUGAAUGAAGUCUGCAUUCUAAACAUUUAAUUAAGUUUUUGUGCUAGCAAAGUUUCAAGUUUUGAUAGUUCGGCACAACUAAUGAACUAGCAUGUUUUGCUUAUAUGUCUGUCUAGCAAACUAGCAGUUUUGAUGUGCUAAGCUAAAGAACUAGCAAGUUUUGCUAGUGGUGCCAACGUACUGCGUUGGUUGGCUAGUUGAGCAACAUCCUACUAGAUGGCGAAGGCCUGAAUCUACCUAUUGAAUUUUCCAUACUACACACCAGAUUAUAAGGCACAUCUUCAGUUAGUAGGUUCUUUUCAAAGUACUGUCAUCUACAGUAAAUGGUGCAUUGAACUGUAAGGCGGAUGUUGGGAUGGAGCAAUCUUCCGUUUUUAUUCUUGUUGUGCUUAGCUAGAGAACUAGCAAGUUUUGCUAGUAGUGCAUAACCAACGUACUGCGUUCGUUGGAGGAAAGAGACCUGUCCCCCACCCGGUGUCGAAGGGACAUGACCCUUUCAUCCACCGAGGUAAACUCCAGGACUUGGCGGCUGAGCUGAGGGCUCACGAGUAAGCCCACACCAGCCGCCGCCUCUCAACAUGAGCAACUCCUGAACGGUAGAGUCUAACCUGUCUCUAAGGACUGAGUUUCAGAGCCCAGACCGUGUGUGGAUGUGAGCCCAACUGUAUCUAGCCGGUACCUCUCAACCUCCCGCACAAGCUUAGGCUCCUUCCCUCCCAGAGAGGUGACAUUCCAUAUUCUAAAAGCCAAGUUUCAGACCGGGGUGUGGGCUGCAGAGGCACCCGUCUUUGCCACCUAAACCGCAUUGCACCGGCCCCCUUCUGACCUCUCCUACAGACGGUGGACCCAAGGGAGAGUGAUCCCACGUUGUUUCUUCAAGCUGGACUCGACUAGGUCCCAUUGGAAAAGCCCGGUUCAGCAGGCAACAAUGUGGAAUCUUGAGAAGGAACUCUCAUAAAGGGGGUUCUGAACCGUUCUUUGUCUUGCUCGUCACCCAGGACCUGUCUGCCAUGGGAGACCCUACCAGGGAUAAGAGCCCCAGACUCCGAGGAUCACUCCAGCUCUCCAACCCCUUCAACACGUUAUGGUGGCAGUUCAUAGAGGGGAAGAAACUAGCAAGUUUUGCUAAUUAGGUACAACUAGUAAACUAGCAAGUUGUAAUAAUUAUGUGUAAUUAGGGAACUAACAAGCUUUGCUAAUUGGGUACAACUAGGGAAGUAGCAAGUUUUGCUAACUAGCAAAUUAACAAUUUUUCCCUGUUGGGCACAGCGAGCAAACUGCCAAGUUUAGCUAGUUUGCUAGUUAGGCACUACUAGUUAGCUUUCCUUGUUGCUUCCAACUUAGUAAAACUACUGAAUGUAGUUCAGCGGAAAGUUCUGUUCAUCUGUUUUGCAAUUUAUUAAGCUGCCAUUAAAAAGUACAAAUUUACAUAUUGGAUUUUUUUGUGUGAUUUAUUUUGUGAUUUGUGUGUAACAGAUCAUAAAAAUAUUAAAUGAUUUUGGAAAUUUUAGCUGAUUAAUAAUUCUGUUUAUUUAGGAUAUUUGAGAAUAUGGCCUAUCAGGUAGUUCCAUGUUGAAUAAAAACUGGGGGAAAAAAAGGUUAACGUUCUACAAAAGAAGCCAGCGACUCCCUUUAAUGUGGCUCCCAUUAGGGUGCUGCAACGCUUGCAGCCCGCUCCAGCAUCCUUUAGAAGACGCCCCUGCCAACAACUGGUGGGAGAGCCGCAGCAUGCCAGCUGCCAAACAUGACAUUUGCUGGCUGGGCCGCUGAACCCCAGUGGGUGACAUCUGCAGAGCAGCCUUUCAUCCCCUCGCUGGGUACCUGUGUGGCCCCAGGCCCCCGAGAGCCAGGAUGAAUGCAUUCACUCUUCCUCCCAGCUGGGUUCCUCAUAGCCACAGGGCCACAGCUUUGACACACGUGCUUGCAGACAGAUAUGCAGUGCACACGCGUAUUAAUAUGCAAGCUCACACAAUCAAAUGCUCACUCAUAUACUCAUAACUAAAGAACACCACCUCCACACAACAAACAGCUUCCAGCGUCAACAUCUGCAGCUCUGGGGACUCCUUUUGUUUCCCCCUGUUGUUUCAUCAUCAGGGGCUGGCAGUCAGGUUGGGCUGCUUUUGUUAUUUCAACCUCAGACCCUGCUGCAACUGUCAGCUGGAGAUGCUAUCUAAUCCUCAGCAGAGCUUGAUGAAAAAUGCAAAUACAAGCUGAGACCAGAGACGGUGAAUACAAAAAAAACAAGCUGAGAAAAGAAAUACACGUGUAAAAUACUUGGAAAAUAUUCCACUUGAAAUGUAAAAAUUACCUGGUUUUAGGGGAAAAUCCGAUAAAAACAACCAUGAUUUGGGUUUGAUCAUGCAUUUUCUGGGUGUGUGUCUGGUUAUUAUAACAUUUUUCCCUUCUAAAAUGAUCAUUCAUCACACUAUUAUAACAUGUCUAAUCAUCCACAAAGCCUAUGAUGAUGUAACUGGCAAGUAUUAAUGACUGUCUGAUGUGUUUAUGAACGGAGGCAAAGUGUUCCUGUUUCUCUGCUCUAUCUCUUUAAUCAGGCUCGAUCUUUGACCACUUGUUGUUGUGAGCGGUUCCGUGUACGGGUUCCGAUCCCGCCUGACAUCCCAUUAGCCCCCCGCAUUAGGAAAUUUCUAAUCACUGUGCCACUGGGACCCGGGGACUCGCAGCUCCUUUUUCACUUAACCUCCAGCAGGAG
rnacentral:lncRNA from 1 species